GGACGAUUAGCUCAGUUGGUAGAGCGCUUCGUUUACACCGAAGAUGUCGGGAGUUCGAGUCUCUCAUCGUCCACCA
rnacentral:tRNA from 1 species